rnacentral:rRNA from 1 species
UACGUAGGGCGCAAGCGUUGUCCGGAAUUAUUGGGCGUAAAGAGCUCGUAGGCGGUCUGUUACGUCUGCUGUGAAAACCCAGGGCUUAACCCUGGGCUUGCAGUGGAUACGGGCAGACUAGAGGCAGGUAGGGGAGAAUGGAAUUCCCGGUGUAGCGGUGAAAUGCGCAGAUAUCGGGAGGAACACCGGUGGCGAAGGCGGCUCUCUGGAACGGUACUGACGCUGAGACGCGAAAGCGUGGGGAGCGAACAGG